CAAUAGCGUAUAUUUAAGUUGUUGCAGUUAAAAAGCUCGUAGUUGGAUUUCGGUUAAGAGCGACCGGUCCGCCGUUUGGUGUGCACUGGUUGGUUUUAACUUCCUGUAGAGGACGUGCUCUGGGUUUAACGACCUGGACUCGGAGUCUACGUGGUUACUUUGAAAAAAUUAGAGUGUUCAAAGCGGGCUUACGCUUGAAUAUUUCAGCAUGGAAUAACACUAUAGGACUCCUGUCCUAUUUCGUUGGUCUCGGGACGGGAGUAAUGAUUAAGAGGAACAGUUGGGGGCAUUCGUAUUUAAUUGUCAGAGGUGAAAUUCUUAGAUUUAUGAAAGACGAACUACUGCGAAAGCAUUUGCCAAGGAUGUUUUCAUUA
rnacentral:rRNA from 1 species